rnacentral:rRNA from 1 species
GAUGAACGCUGGCGGCGUGCCUAAUACAUGCAAGUCGAGCGAACGGACGAGAAGCUUGCUUUUCUGAUGUUAGCGGCGGACGGGUGAGUAACACGUGGAUAACCUACCUAUAAGACUGGGAUAACUUCGGGAAACCGGAGCUAAUACCGGAUAAUAUUUUGAACCGCAUGGUUCCAAAGUGAAAGACGGUCUUGCUGUCACUUAUAGCUGGAUCCGCGCUGCAUUAGCUAGUUGGUAAGGUAACGGCUUAGCAAGGCAACGAUGCAUAGCCGACCUGAGAGGGGGGUAGCCGACACGGGAGCGUGGACACGGUCCAGACUCCUACGGGACGCAGCAGAAGGGAAUCGGACGCAAUGGGCGAAAGCCUGACGGAGCAACGCCGCGUGAGUGAUGAAGGCGUUCGGAUCGGAAAACUCUGUUAUUAGUGAAGAACAUAUGUGUAAGUAACUGUGCAGAUCGUGACGGUACCUAAUCAGAAAGCCACGGCUAACUACGUG